GAAAUAGAAGCAGCACUUGAAAAAGUUAUAAAUUUUUGUGAUAACUUUCUUUUUCUAAUGAUAGAAAAAAUGAGCUCAGGAAUUCAGCAGGAAAUGCAAAUGGUUUCUUGCUUGUUUGUUUUUAGAAUUUGAAUCCCUAAAUCUUUCUCCUAUAUACAUAUUUCAAUACUUCAAUCAUAUUUCAAUCUAGUUAAAACUUUAAAAUACUGUUAUUUCCUCAAUGCCAUAGCAAAUGGAUGCAGCUGGUACAAAGAAUGGUGAAACUGGGCGGAGUAGCGAUGAAGGGCUACUUCAGGAAACAACAAGUAAGCUUUGGAAUACUGAAACAGGAACAUUUUUCUCAUACCCAGUGCUCUCCAGAACUUCACAGCCAACUCAAGAAGUCAGUCCUGUGUCAGCAGGGAAGACCAAUGACCUCCAUCUGAAGAAAAAGUAUUAUCUUCUGAUUUGUAUUACUACUGCUGGGUUGCCUUGGACGUUUUUUCUCCAAAGAAAGCAGCACAGGUGUGCAGCUUUAACUAGAGGAAAAAGGAAUUACGCUCUUCUUGGCACCAGAUGUUUCCCUAUGAAAGGCAAGAUCUGGGUGCAUAUGAAAUGACUUUCUGGUGAGAAGAGCUCGUUCUUGCACUGGUUAACAUGUUGUUUAUGCUCAGACACCUGAGGGUUUAUAUCCUAUCCAGACUUCUGCAUUUUCUGAAGUUGUUUGUAUGUGAUGUUUAUCCAAUAAAGAAAGAAUGGGCCAUAAAGUUGUAGGUGACAAGAUGGAAAGAAACCUCUUCGGCUAUCAUGUCCAGCCCUCCUCUUUCUGCUAUGUGGUAUAGUGAAGACAUAUUUCAGAGUAUUGCCUGCCUGCAGCUCUGUCCACAUCUACCAUUGAGAGAAACUCGCUGCAGGAGUAGCUAACGGAUGAACAGAUGAGAAACAGAAGCUUUCCAUACUGCUCCUCGUUUGGAAGUGCCUCUGAGAAUGCCCUCGGUCUCUUGCAAUGCAAAGAGAUCAAGGUUUAUCUUCACCUCUACACUACUCCCUGGUGUUGG
rnacentral:lncRNA from 1 species